UACAGAGGGGGCAAGCGUUAUUCGGAAUUAUUGGGCGUAAAGGGCGCGUAGGCGGCCUGGCAAGUGGAAGGUGAAAUCCCUCAGCUUAACUGGGGAACUGCGUCUGAUACUGGAUGGCUUGAGAUUGGGAGAGGGAUGCGGAAUUCCAGGUGUAGCGGUGAAAUGCGUAGAUAUCUGGAGGAACACCGGUGGCGAAGGCGGCAUCCUGGACCAACACUGACACUGAGGAGCGAAAGCCAGGGGAGCAAACGGG
rnacentral:rRNA from 1 species